GUAGUCCCAGCUGUAAACGGUGCGCACUUGGUGUGGGAGGAAUUGACCCCUUCCGUGCCGGAGCUAACGCGUUAAGUGCGCCGCCUGGGGAGUACGGUCGCAAGACUAAAACUCAAAGAAAUUGACGGGGGCCCGCACAAGCGGAGGAGCAUGUGGCUCAAUUCGAUGCAACGCGAAGAACCUUACCAGGGCUUGACAUGCAGCUGCACGUCCAUCGAAAGGUGGAUUCCUUCGAGGGUGCUGCACAGGUGCUGCAUGGCUGUCGUCAGUUCGUGCCGUGAGGUGUUGGGUUAAGUCCCGCAACGAACGCAACCCCUGUGUUUAGUUGCUACCAGGUAAUGCUGGGCACUCUAAACAGACUGCCUGUACCAAACAGGA
rnacentral:rRNA from 1 species